rnacentral:rRNA from 1 species
UACCAGCACCCCGAGUAUUCGGGACGAUUAUUGGGCCUAAAGCAUCCGUAGCCGGUCUAACAAGUCCUCCGUUAAAUCCAACGGCUCAACCGGUGGGCUGAGAGGGAUACUGUUAGACUAGGGGGCGGGAGAGGCGAGGGGUAUUCCCAGGGUAGGGGUAAAAUCCACUGAUCCUGGAAGGACCACCAGUGGCGAAGGCGCCUCGCUAGAACGCGCCCGACGGUGAGGGAUGAAAGCUAGGGGAGCGAACCGG